GAGAUGUUGGGUUAGUCCCGCACGAGCGCAACCCUUAUCUCCAGUUGCUACCAUUUAGUUGAGCACUCUGGCGAAACCGCCUCGGAUAACGGGGAGGAAGGUGGGGAUGACGUCAAGUCCUCAUGGCCUUUAUGUCCAGGGCUACACACGUGCUACAAUGGCCGGUACAAACCGCUGCAAACCCGUGAGGGGGAGCCAAUCGGAAAAAGCCGGCCUCAGUUCGGAUUGGAGUCUGCAACUCGACUCCAUGAAGCUGGAAUCGCUAGUAAUCGUGGAUCAGCAUGCCACGGUGAAUACGUUCCCGGGCCUUGUACACACCGCCCGU
rnacentral:rRNA from 1 species